GACGAACGCUGGCGGCGUGCUUAACACAUGCAAGUCGAACGGAGAGGCCCCUUUGGGGGUACUCGAGUGGCGAACGGGUGAGUAACACGUGAGUAACCUGCCCUUGACUUCGGGAUAACUUCAGGAAACUGGGGCUAAUACCGGAUAGGAAUCCUUGCUGCAUGGUGGGGGUUGGAAAGCUUCGGCGGUUUUGGAUGGACUCGCGGCUUAUCAGCUUGUUGGUGGGGUAGUGGCUUACCAAGGCUUUGACGGGUAGCCGGCCUGAGAGGGCGACCGGCCACAUUGGGACUGAGAUACGGCCCAGACUCCUACGGGAGGCAGCAGUGGGGAAUAUUGCACAAUGGGCGGAAGCCUGAUGCAGCAACGCCGCGUGCGGGAUGACGGCCUUCGGGUUGUAAACCGCUUUCAGCAGGGGCGAAGCUUUUGUGACGGUACCUGCAGAAGAAGCACCGGCUAACUACGUG
rnacentral:rRNA from 1 species